rnacentral:rRNA from 1 species
AAAGCGUCCGCAGGUGGUUGUGAAAGUUGAUGGUUAAAUCCUGGAGCUUAACUUCAGAAAUGCUGUCAAAACUUCAUAACUCGAGGUUGGGAGAGGCAAACGGAACUGCCGGUGUAGUCGUAAUAAGCGCUGAUAUCGGCAGGAACACCAAAGGCGAAGGCAGUUUGCUGGAACACACCUGACACUCAUGGACGAAAGCGUGGGUAGCGAAAGGGAUUAGAUACCCCUGUAGUCCACGCCCUAAACGAUGUGCACUAGGUAUUGCGAGUAUCGACCCUCGCAGUGCCGUUUAAAAAAGCUAACGCGUUAAGUGCACCGCCUGGGGAGUACGGCCGCAAGGUUAAAACUCAAAGGAAUAGACGGGGACCCGCACAAGUAGAGGAUCAUGCGGUUUAAUUCGAUGGUACACGGGGAACCUUACCAGGGCUCAACUACUAGCUGCAAGCCGGAUGAAAGUCUGGCCGCCUUCGAGGGUGCUAGAUAGGUGCUGCAUGGUUGCCGUCAGCUCGUGCCGUGAGGUGUACCGUUAAGUCGGGUAACGAGCGCAACCCUCAGUGUGUGUUAAAUGUACACGCACGACUGCCUACGCAAGUAGGAGGAAGGUGGGGACGACGUCAAAUCAGCAUGGCUCUUACGUCCUGGGCAACACGCAUGAUACAAUGGUUGGUACAGAGGGUAGCAAAACCGCAAGGCGAAGCCAAUCCCAGAAAACCAAUCGUAGUUCGGAUUGAAGGCUGCAACUCGCCUUCAUGAAGCUGGAUUUACUAGUAAAUGCGCAUCAGCCACGGCGCAUUGAAUACGUUCUCGGG